AAAGAAGCGAGGCAGGACUGGGGGGGAUUGGAGUAGCAGGCGAGAAGGCUGCAGGCUUUUAAACUCAGGGUUCCGGGCCGGAGGACUCCAUUUCCCAGAAUGCCGAGGGUCCAAGGCCACAGAAAUCUUGGCCCCGCCCCUUGUGGCAACCCGAGUCAUUCUGGAAAUCUCUUGUGGUCCGUCUCAGCUCCUGGAAGGUCCACAGUGGUGCUUCUUAGACCGUUUCUGGGGAAUUAGAGGGGGAGGGGAGGGGAGCCAAGGCCAUCCUGUCAACUAAGACUUUCUGCUCCCGAACACCUGCAGGGCACACACAGAGGAAGUCUCCCCCCCCCUCCGGGCUGCCACCCCCUGAAGGACCCCAGGGUGGCCCCAGCAGAGAGCCCCCAGCCAGAGGAAUGGCCCCUGGGACCCCGAGGCCCCCUCCCAGUUUUGCUGCUUCCAGGACUUUUCUGUCACUAUGGGUAGGAGGCCCUAAUGGUGGAUACAGAAUAGAAAGUUGAAUGUAGCAAGCAGGAAAGUAACAUAUAUCUUUCCUCUUUUUGGAGGCCUCAAAACAUAAGGGACAGUCCUGAGGCCACUGAUCAACUGCCACCUUGACUUUUCUCCCCAGCACCAUCCCUAGUUAAUUUGUUACACCAAAGUGUUCCUAUCUCAAACAAAGAAUGUAAACACACCUUUUCCUGGGAUGAAUUAGCUUUUGUCUACACACCAAUUUGCCUCAUAAUCUGGUUGCAUUCACCAAGCUUAUCCCUUGAUAUGGACAAAUAAUAAUAAAUUAGCUGGAGGUGGGGAAACUGAUGCAGAGGCCUCAGAAUCACUGAAGAUGAAGAUGACUUCUGGCUGCCCCACCCCAAUAUCAAAUACGUAACCUGGAAUAUAGGUAUCUGUAUUUUUUCGUA